UUUCUUAGAUUCAAGAAAUCCUUUUCAUUGACCAGAACAAUAGACCCACAAAUCUCAAAUUUGACCUAGUAAACCCUCACAAAUUCAAACAAAUAAUACGAUAAUCCUGUCAUUGAAAGAGCAUUGAGAGAUCAGAAAAAUCUGCAUUCUUUUCCAUCUUCGUUCUAGAGAAAUGAAAAAUGCAAAAAUAAAAAAGGUAAACAGCGAUUUAUACCAAUAUUAUAGUAGAAAUAAGAAGAAAACCCAGAAUCUGAGGGUAGAGAGAUCAUCGGCUAGAAGGGUAUAGAUAGGCUUCAAGAGUUUCUAGAAAGGUUUUAUUCCCAAAUUACACCGAAUUUUGAGCUUCCUGAUUAAUCGAAGAAAACAAAUAGACAUAAAAACGUUUGUUGGAUAGUCCGACGUUGCUCGGACAGCGCCGCUAUGUACAACGUGUCCACCAUAUUCCACAAGGCGAC
rnacentral:lncRNA from 1 species